CCUACGGGAGGCAGCAGUAGGGACUAUUGCUCAAUGGGGGAAACCCUGAAGCAGCAACGCCGCGUGGAGGAUGAAGGUUUUCGGAUUGUAAACUCCUUUUGUUAGAGAAGAUAAUGACGGUAUCUAACGAAUAAGCACCGGCUAACUCCGUGCCAGCAGCCGCGGUAAUACGGAGUGUGCAAGCGUUACUCGGGAUCACUGGGCCGAAAGAGCGCGUAGGCGGGAUAGCAAGUCAGAUGUGAAAUCCUAUGGCUUAACCAUAGAACUGCAUUUGAAACUGUUAUUCUAGAGUAUGGGAGAGGUAGGUGGAAUUCUUGGUGUAGGGGUAAAAUCCGUAGAGAUCAAGAGGAAUACUCAUUGCGAAGGCGACCUGCUAGAACAUAACUGACGCUGAUGCGCGAAAGCGUGGGGAGCAAACAGGAUUAGAUACCCUUGUAGUC
rnacentral:rRNA from 1 species